CUAGCUACAGGCUUAACACAUGCAAGUCGAGGGGCAUCAGGAAGAAAGCUUGCUUUCUUUGCUGACGACCGGCGCACGGGUGAGUAACACGUAUCCAACCUGCCCUUUACUCGGGGAUAGCCUUUCGAAAGAAAGAUUAAUACCCGAUAGCAUAAUGAUUCCGCAUGGUUUCAUUAUUAAAGGAUUCCGGUAAAGGAUGGGGAUGCGUUCCAUUAGGUUGUUGGUGAGGUAACGGCCCACCAAGCCUUCGAUGGAUAGGGGUUCUGAGAGGAAGGUCCCCCACAUUGGAACUGAGACACGGUCCAAACUCCUACGGGAGGCAGCAGUGAGGAAUAUUGGUCAAUGGGCGCUAGCCUGAACCAGCCAAGUAGCGUGAAGGAUGAAGGCUCUAUGGGUCGUAAACUUCUUUUAUAUAAGAAUAAAGUGCAGUAUGUAUACUGUUUUGUAUGUAUUAUAUGAAUAAGGAUCGGCUAACUCCGUGCCAGCAGCCGCGGUAAUACGGAGGAUCCGAGCGUUAUCCGGAUUUAUUGGGUUUAAAGGGAGCGUAGGUGGACUGGUAAGUCAGUUGUGAAAGUUUGCGGCUCAACCGUAAAAUUGCAGUUGAUACUGUCAGUCUUGAGUACAGUAGAGGUGGGCGGAAUUCGUGGUGUAGCGGUGAAAUGCUUAGAUAUCACGAAGAACUCCGAUUGCGAAGGCAGCUCACUGGACUGCAACUGACACUGAUGCUCGAAAGUGUGGGUAUCAAACAGGAUUAGAUACCCUGGUAGUCCACACAGUAAACGAUGAAUACUCGCUGUUUGCGAUAUACAGUAAGCGGCCAAGCGAAAGCAUUAAGUAUUCCACCUGGGGAGUACGCCGGCAACGGUGAAACUCAAAGGAAUUGACGGGGGCCCGCACAAGCGGAGGAACAUGUGGUUUAAUUCGAUGAUACGCGAGGAACCUUACCCGGGCUUAAAUUGCAGUGGAAUGAUGUGGAAACAUGUCAGUGAGCAAUCACCGCUGUGAAGGUGCUGCAUGGUUGUCGUCAGCUCGUGCCGUGAGGUGUCGGCUUAAGUGCCAUAACGAGCGCAACCCUUAUCUUUAGUUACUAACAGGUUAUGCUGAGGACUCUAGAGAGACUGCCGUCGUAAGAUGUGAGGAAGGUGGGGAUGACGUCAAAUCAGCACGGCCCUUACGUCCGGGGCUACACACGUGUUACAAUGGGGGGUACAGAAGGCAGCUAGCGGGUGACCGUAUGCUAAUCCCAAAAUCCUCUCUCAGUUCGGAUCGAAGUCUGCAACCCGACUUCGUGAAGCUGGAUUCGCUAGUAAUCGCGCAUCAGCCACGGCGCGGUGAAUACGUUCCCGGGCCUUGUACACACCGCCCGUCAAGCCAUGGGAGCCGGGGGUACCUGAAGUACGUAACCGCAAGGAUCGUCCUAGGGUAAAACUGGUGACUGG
rnacentral:rRNA from 1 species